ACGGCGAGUGAAGCGGGAUGAGCUCAAGCUUAAAAUCUCCGUACAAGUUUUGUACGGCGAAUUGUAGUCUAUAGAGGCGUGGUCAGCGUGGGCGCUUGGGGCAAGUUCCUUGGAAGAGGACAGCAUGGAGGGUGAUACUCCCGUUCAUCCCUGAGUGGCUCGUGCGUACRACCCGUUUUCUUUGAGUCGCGUUGUUUGGGAAUGCAGCGCAAAGUAGGUGGUAAAUUCCAUCUAAAGCUAAAUAUUGGUGCGAGACCGAUAGCGAACAAGUACCGUGAGGGAAAGAUGAAAAGAACUUUGAAAAGAGAGUUAAAGAGUACCUGAAACUGCUGAAAGGGAACCGAAUCGUUUCCAGUGUCUAUAAUCCGUGGCAUAUUUCAUUGGCGAGUGUGUGCGUGCGUGUGCUGUGGCAGCGGCCUYUUGGCUGCGCUUGGCGCGUGUGGUGUGUGUGCUUGCUGGUGCCCUGUGCUGCGGUGGGACGUCAAUGUCAGUUCGUAUGCUGCGGGAAAUGGCUGCCGAGGAGGUAGGGCUUACGCUUGCGUUUGUCUGUUAUAUCUUGGUGGACGAGUCGUCGCGGUUGGGACUGAGGUGCCUACAACGUGCUUUUGAGUGGGUUUGUGUCUCCGUGUGUGCCGUGUGCGGAUAGCUUGCUAUGCGUGUGUGGUUAUGUGUGGAUUGAUACGGGCUUUAACUUGUUGCCGU
rnacentral:rRNA from 1 species